AUGAUGGAGGGUGAUGUAAUGGACUUCCUCAUUGAUGAUUGGAAGCAAGAUCCUGAGAGAAAUGCUGAUUUCGCAUCUGGAAAAAGGGUAUUGUUGAGUCCAUAUUUCAUCACGGUUGUGCUUGACUGUACGUUUUACGGUGAUGAAAAUAAAGUGUUUAAUGUUGAGAGUGCAGCGAGAGAUUUCAAGAGCUAUGUUAAAGAUAAGGAAGACUUGCUCAGUGCCGACCUUAUCAUGAUGCCUCUAUUCAAGACUAUGAUUUUAGCAAAGGAUAAGAAAGUGAACCACUUUUCCUUAUAUGUCAUGAAUCGAUACCGAAGUAGCGUUGACAUCCUUGACUCUUUACCUUAUCCGAAGAACCACCGUCCUUCAAAGAACACAUAUCAUAAAGACUGCGAGAAGAUUUACAAUGCGAGCAAGCAGCCCAAAUGGGAGCUUUUUACAAAGAAACCAAUGUUUGUCAAGGUUCCACUUCAAGGGCCGAAUGAAUGUGGCCAUUAUACUCUGAAGUAUGCGGGAUCCUAUGAUGGUGAAAAGAUCGUUGAGAACAUUCGAGAUAAUGACCCACGUAUUGUUGAUUGGAAUGUUGAGGAUCUGUAUAGAGUUGUGUUCAACCGGAAUAGCCAGCUUGUGGUGAUGGAGCUUCCCAAGGAGGUUCAGGCUUUGGCUCAUGAUGCAUAG
rnacentral:rRNA from 1 species